GAUGAACGCUGGCGGCGUGCCUAAUACAUGCAAGUCGAGCGAACAGAUGAGGAGCUUGCUCCUCUGACGUUAGCGGCGGACGGGUGAGUAACACGUGGAUAACCUACCUAUAAGACUGGGAUAACUUCGGGAAACCGGAGCUAAUACCGGAUAAUAUAUUGAACCGCAUGGUUCAAUAGUGAAAGACGGUUUUGCUGUCACUUAUAGAUGGAUCCGCGCCGCAUUAGCUAGUUGGUAAGGUAACGGCUUACCAAGGCAACGAUGCGUAGCCGACCUGAGAGGGUGAUCGGCCACACUGGAACUGAGACACGGUCCAGACUCCUACGGGAGGCAGCAGUAGGGAAUCUUCCGCAAUGGGCGAAAGCCUGACGGAGCAACGCCGCGUGAGUGAUGAAGGUCCUCGGAUCGUAAAACUCUGUUAUUAGGGAAGAACAAAUGUGCAAGUAACUAUGCACGUCUUGACGGUACCUAAUCAGAAAGCCACGGCUAACUACGUG
rnacentral:rRNA from 1 species